rnacentral:rRNA from 1 species
AUUGAACGCUGGCGGCAUGCCUUACACAUGCAAGUCGAACGGCAGCACGGGAGCAAUCCUGGUGGCGAGUGGCGAACGGGUGAGUAAAGCAUCGGAACGUACCUGGUAGUGGGGGAUAGCCCGGCGAAAGCCGGAUUAAUACCGCAUACGACCUGAGGGUGAAAGCGGGGGAUCGCAAGACCUCGCGCUAUUGGAGCGGCCGAUGUCAGAUUAGCUAGUUGGUGGGGUAAAGGCCUACCAAGGCGACGAUCCGUAGCUGGUCUGAGAGGACGACCAGCCACACUGGGACUGAGACACGGCGCAGACUCCUACGGGAGGCAGCAGUGGGGAAGUUUGGACAAUGGGCGCAAGCCUGAGCCAGCCAUGCCGCGUGCGGGAAGAAGGCCUUCGGGUUGUAAACCGCUUUUGUCAGGGAAGAAAUCUUCUGGGUUAAUACCUCGGGAGGAUGACGGUACCUUGAUAAGAAGCACCGGCUAACUACGUGCCAGCAGCCGCGGUAAUAC